rnacentral:rRNA from 1 species
CCUACGGGAGGCAGCAGUGGGGAAUCUUAGACAAUGGGCGCAAGCCUGAUCUAGCCAUGCCGCGUGAGUGACGAAGGCCUUAGGGUCGUAAAGCUCUUUCGCCAGAGAUGAUAAUGACAGUAUCUGGUAAAGAAACCCCGGCUAACUCCGUGCCAGCAGCCGCGGUAAUACGGAGGGGGUUAGCGUUGUUCGGAAUUACUGGGCGUAAAGCGUACGUAGGCGGAUUAGUAAGUUAGGGGUGAAAUCCCGAGGCUCAACCUCGGAACUGCCUCUAAAACUGCUAGUCUUGAGUUCGAGAGAGGUGAGUGGAAUUCCAAGUGUAGAGGUGAAAUUCGUAGAUAUUUGGAGGAACACCAGUGGCGAAGGCGGCUCACUGGCUCGAUACUGACGCUGAGGUACGAAAGUGUGGGGAGCAAACAGGAUUAGAUACCCUGGUAGUCCACACCGUAAACGAUGAAUGCCAGUCGUCGGAUAGUAUACUAUUCGGUGACACACCUAACGGAUUAAGCAUUCCGCCUGGGGAGUACGGUCGCAAGAUUAAAACUCAAAUGAAUUGACGG